rnacentral:tRNA from 1 species
GGGGGUAUAGCUCAGUGGUAGAGCGCUCCCUUAGCAUGGGAGAGGGCUGGGGUUCAACAAUCUCCAUGUUCCUU